GGUAGGCCGCCAUUGUAAAUAAGAAUGUGUUCUUAAUAACUUACUUGCCUAGUUAAAUAAAACAUUUGACACAAUAAUUGUUAGCAAAGGUGUCCGCUAGAGAUGGCGUGCAGGAGCUUUCAGAGAUUUGUGGUUUUGCAUGAUGUUUACUUUUAUGCUAAUUAGCAUUUUCGAAUCAGAGUAAAUACAGCCGAAUAUAUUGAUAAAAGUCACCUUGUCCGAGAGCGCUUUAAAUGGUUAUCAAAACGUCACCUCCACUAUUCUUUCGCAAUUCAUUUUGCUCAUAGGGAUGGCUGAACGAACCAGAGGUAACUCAUUUCCGGGUUGUAGGACUCAAAGCUGGCGAGUUCUGUUGCUCGGCAAUAUUGCCUCAAAGAAUUAUCAUGGCCUUUAUGUAUGCCGUUGACCAAGCAUGUUAGCGUUGCAAUCUGACUUUGUUGCCUUAUUAAGGCCAUGUUGCAAGUUAAAUUUGCCAAUAUAAAUAGAUUAUACACCAAUUGUAGAUGGCAAUAAAAAGAUAAAUUGCCCUGGCUGCCAAAGAAAGAACUGAGAAGGUAAGUAACGCCCCCUCAAGUGCAUGCCGCAGCAUGUGAUUUUGCCUGUGACGCUCAUUAAGUGAAAACGAGCUGAAUGUGGACAACAUCUGGUGAAGAGGCUAGUUCUACAAACAAGUGGCUAUUACUCCUCGGCCUGAAGUCAUAAUAUAAAACGAACAUGAUCUGCUUGAAGAUGAAGAGGGAGUUGGAUCACUAGAAAGCAGCAUACAGACUGAUCAGGGCCCGUAUUCACAAAGCAUCUCAGAGUAGGAGUACUGAUUUUAGGAUCAGUUUUGCCUUUAAUGUAAGGGGAGCUGGUCCUAGAUCACUGUUCCUACUCUGAAGACGCUUUGUGAAUACAGGCCCGGGAAGAAAGCUGUUGCCCAAUACCUUGCACAACAGUCUUUCACCACAGAACCCCAGAGGCCACUGCAUGCUGUGAAAUGGGCUUGGAUGGUAACACAUCUUCAAGCUUCCUGACUGAAUAUUGGGGUCUUCAGUGGUUCUGGAAGCAAGGGCUUUACCUGGGAGUACAGCAACAGUCUCGCAGCCAUUCUGUCAACAUGUAUAGUACGCAGGCCACUGCAUGCUGUGAAAUGGGCUUGGAUGGUAACACAUCUUCAAGCUUCCUGACUGAAUAUUGGGGUCUUCAGUGGUUCUGGAAGCAAGGGCUUUACCUGGGAGUACAGCAACAGUCUCGCAGCCAUUCUGUCAACAUGUAUAGUACGCAGGCCACUGCAUGCUGUGAAAUGGGCUUGGAUGGUAACACAUCUUCAAGCUUCCUGACUGAAUAUUGGGGUCUUCAGUGGUUCUGGAAGCAAGGGCUUUACCUGGGAGUACAGCAACAGUCUCGCAGCCAUUCUGUCAACAUGUAUAGUACGGAACCCACUCAAACUCAUAUAAACUGCUACGGACGCCAGCACUGAUUUAUAUUUACUUUGUCCCAUUCUUUAAUCUUGUUUGAGAUAUAUAUUUUAGUUGAGACACCUGUAUGAGAGAGAUAAUUAAAAAUGUAUUCACUUUAAAUCUCAAGCUCUACGUGUAUUUGUCUUGAUGUUUAACUUAUCACAGGAGUUAGUACAAAUU